UACAGAGGGUGCAAGCGUUGUUCGGAAUUACUGGGCGUAAAGCGUGCGUAGGUGGUUUGUUAAGUCUGUUGUGAAAGCCCCGGGCUCAACCUGGGAAUGGCAAUGGAUACUGGCAGGCUAGAGUGCGGUAGAGGGUAGUGGAAUUCCCGGUGUAGCGGUGAAAUGCGUAGAGAUCGGGAGGAACACCAGUGGCGAAGGCGGCUACCUGGACCAGCACUGACACUGAGGCACGAAAGCGUGGGGAGCAAACAGG
rnacentral:rRNA from 1 species